UAGACUUGACAUGUCACAGUCCCAGUCCAGCUUCCUGGAGACGGUGGUCAGCUGGGAUGGUACCCAGUGUCAGGUCAACCUGGACACAGCCCUCCCACGGCUCAUCAGAUGUUUUCAAGAGGUGAAUGUUGUACAGGAGCAGAUUGGAAUUCUUAAAAUCAUAUGCCAUUCCUUCUUGCCAUGUGUUGAAGCAAUUCAAGCCGAGGAAAAACUUUUUAGCAAACUUAUUGACGA